rnacentral:rRNA from 1 species
AUUGAACGCUGGCGGAAUGCUUUACACAUGCAAGUCGAACGGCAGCACGGGGGCAACCCUGGUGGCGAGUGGCGAACGGGUGAGUAAUACAUCGGAACGUGCCCAAUCGUGGGGGAUAACGUAGCGAAAGCUACGCUAAUACCGCAUACGAUCUACGGAUGAAAGCGGGGGAUCGCAAGACCUCGCGCGAAUGGAGCGGCCGAUGGCAGAUUAGGUAGUUGGUGGGGUAAAGGCUCACCAAGCCGACGAUCUGUAGCUGGUCUGAGAGGACGACCAGCCACACUGGGACUGAGACACGGCCCAGACUCCUACGGGAGGCAGCAGUGGGGAAUUUUGGGACAAUGGGCGCAAGCCUGAUCCAGCCAUUCCGCGUGAGUGAAGAAGGCCUCGGUUGUAAGACUCUUCGUCAAGGAAGAAACUAAUACUCCUAAUACGA